rnacentral:lncRNA from 1 species
AUUAGCGCAUGGGUCAUUCACACUGAGAGGACUUCAGGGUGAUCUCUACAUGUCCCAGAGGAGCAGGGUAGAGAGAGGAGGGAAAGAGCUGGAAGGAAAGGAAGAUGAACGAAAAGGUACUUGCCCAGUUAGGAUUGAAAAAUAGUCACAUGUGUUUCCCAUGGACUAGCCUUCUAGUACUUCCAUUCUCCUAC